rnacentral:rRNA from 1 species
UCUAAGUAUAAGCAAUUAUACAGCGAAACUGCGAAUGGCUCAUUAUAUAAGUUAUCGUUUAUUUGAUAGUGCCUUACUACUUGGAUAACCGUGGUAAUUCUAGAGCUAAUACAUGCUGAAAGCCCCGACUCACGGAGGGGCGUAUUUAUUAGAUUAAAAACCAAUGCCCUUCGGGGCUCCUUGGUGAUUCAUGAUAACUUCUCGAAUCGCACGGCCUUGCGCCGGCGAUGGUUCAUUCAAAUUUCUUCCCUAUCAACUUUCGAUGUUUGGGUAGUGGCCAAACAUGGUGGCAACGGGUAACGGAGGGUUAGGGCUCGACCCCGGAGAAGGAGCCUGAGAAACGGCUCCUACAUCCAAGGAAGGCAGCAGGCGCGCAAAUUACCCAAUCCCGACUCGGGGAGGUAGUGACAAUAAAUACUGAUGCAGGGCUCUUUAGGGUCUUGCAAUUGGAAUGAGUACAAUUUAAAUCCCUUAACGAGGAACAAUUGGAGGGCAAGUCUGGUGCCAGCAGCCGCGGUAACUCCAGCUCCAAUAGCGUAUAUUAAAGUUGUUGUGGUUAAAAAGCUCGUAGUUGAACCUUGGGCCUGGCCGUCCGGUCCGCCUCACCGCGUGCACUGGCACGGCCGGGCCUUCCCACCGCGGAAUCGCAUGCCCUUUACUGGGCGUGUCGGGGAAGCGGUACUUUUACUGUGAAAAAAUUAGAGUGCUCUAAGCAGGCCUAUGCUCGAAUACAUUAGCAUGGAAUAAUAGAAUAGGACAGGCGUUCUAUUUUGUUGGUUUCUAGGACGUCUGUAAUGAUUAACAGAAACAAUCGGGGGCGUCAGUAUUGCAUCGUCAGAGGUGAAAUUCUUAGAUCGACGCAAGACUAACUACUGCGAAAGCAUUCGCCAAGGGUGUUUUCAUUAAUCAGGAACGAAAGUUAGGGGAUCGAAGACGAUCAGAUACCGUCGUAGUCUUAACCAUAAACUAUGCCGACUAGGGAUCGGGCGGUGUUAAUUUUUGACCCGCUCGGCACCUUACGAGAAAUCUUAAGUGCUUGGGCUCCAGGGGGAGUAUGGUCGCA